UACGUAGGGUGCGAGCGUUGUCCGGAAUUACUGGGCGUAAAGGGCGCGUAGGCGGUCUCUUAAGCGUGUGGUGAAAGCCCGGGGGCUCAACUCCGGGUCGGCCGUGCGAACUGGGGGACUUGAGUGCAGAAGAGGAAAGCGGAAUUCCACGUGUAGCGGUGAAAUGCGUAGAGAUGUGGAGGAACACCAGUGGCGAAGGCGGCUUUCUGGUCUGUAACUGACGCUGAGGCGCGAAAGCGUGGGGAGCAAACAGG
rnacentral:rRNA from 1 species